GAUGAACGCUGGCGGCGUGCCUAAUACAUGCAAGUCGAGCGAACAGACGAGGAGCUUGCUCCUUUGACGUUAGCGGCGGACGGGUGAGUAACACGUGGGUAACCUACCUAUAAGACUGGGAUAACUUCGGGAAACCGGAGCUAACACCGGAUAAUAUUUCGAAACGCAUGGUUCGAUAGUGAAAGAUGGCUUUGCUAUCACUUAUAGAUGGACCUGCGCCGUAUUAGCUAGUUGGUAAGGUAACGGCUUACCAAGGCGACGAUACGUAGCCGACCUGAGAGGGUGAUCGGCCACACUGGAACUGAGACACGGUCCAGACUCCUACGGGAGGCAGCAGUAGGGAAUCUUCCGCAAUGGGCGAAAGCCUGACGGAGCAACGCCGCGUGAGUGAUGAAGGUCUUCGGAUCGUAAAACUCUGUUAUUAGGGAAGAACAAACGUGUAAGUAACUGUGCACGUCUUGACGGUACCUAAUCAGAAAGCCACGGCUAACUACGUG
rnacentral:rRNA from 1 species